rnacentral:rRNA from 1 species
CCUAGGGGGGCAGCAGUGGGGAAUAUUGGACAAUGGGCGAAAGCCUGAUCCAGCCAUGCCGCGUGUGUGAAGAAGGCCUUCGGGUUGUAAAGCACUUUCAGUGGGGAAGAAAGCCUUGGGGCUAAUACCCUCGAGGAAGGACAUCACCCACAGAAGAAGCACCGGCUAACUCCGUGCCAGCAGCCGCGGUAAUACGGAGGGUGCGAGCGUUAAUCGGAAUUACUGGGCGUAAAGCGCGCGUAGGCGGUCUGAUAAGCCGGUUGUGAAAGCCCCGGGCUCAACCUGGGAACGGCAUCCGGAACUGUCAGGCUAGAGUGCAGGAGAGGAAGGUAGAAUUCCCGGUGUAGCGGUGAAAUGCGUAGAGAUCGGGAGGAAUACCAGUGGCGAAGGCGGCCUUCUGGACUGACACUGACGCUGAGGUGCGAAAGCGUGGGUAGCAAACAGGAUUAGAUACCCCUGUAGUC